AUUGAACGCUGGCGGAAUGCUUUACACAUGCAAGUCGAACGGCAGCACGGGGGCAGCCCUGGUGGCGAGUGGCGAACGGGUGAGUAAUACAUCGGAACGUGCCCGGUCGUGGGGGAUAACGUAGCGAAAGUUACGCUAAUACCGCAUACGAUCUGAGGAUGAAAGCGGGGGACCUUCGGGCCUCGCGCGAUCGGAGCGGCCGAUGUCAGAUUAGGUAGUUGGUGGGGUAAAGGCCUACCAAGCCGACGAUCUGUAGCUGGUCUGAGAGGACGACCAGCCACACUGGGACUGAGACACGGCCCAGACUCCUACGGGAGGCAGCAGUGGGGAAUUUUGGACAAUGGGCGCAAGCCUGAUCCAGCCAUUCCGCGUGCAGGACGAAGGCCUUCGGGUUGUAAACUGCUUUUGUACGGAGCGAAAAGGCUCUGGCUAAUACCUGGGGUUCAUGACGGUACCGUAAGAAUAAGCACCGGCUAACUACGUG
rnacentral:rRNA from 1 species